CCAUUUAAAAGAGGAGUGUAUGGAUUCAGUUUAAGUAUAUUUGAAUGAUUAUAUGAUUGAACCUUAACUACUCUAUAUAUCCUUUCAUUUUGAAUUUAGAUGAACUUGUUCAGAUAUGGUCAGGGGCUAAGUCUGAACUUGCUUCCAUAGUCUUCCUAGUGGUUCUAGGGUUUGAGGUAGUAUUAAAAGCAAACUUUACCUAAGGUUUCUCUAAACUUUCUAGUGAAGUACAAACUUUCAUGUUUUAAGGCUAUCGCUUAAUUGCCUUUCCUUUACCUUAGGUUUCUCUCAAUUUUCU
rnacentral:lncRNA from 1 species